AACGAACGCUGGCGGCAGGCCUAACACAUGCAAGUCGAACGAAGUCUUCGGACUUAGUGGCGCACGGGUGAGUAACACGUGGGAAUAUACCUUACGCUGGGGGAUAACAUCGGGAAACUGAUGCUAAUACCGCAUACACCCUUCGGGGGAAAGAUUUAUCGGCGAAAGAUUAGCCCGCGUCCGAUUAGCUAGUUGGUGAGGUAAUGGCUCACCAAGGCUCCGAUCGGUAGCUGGUCUGAGAGGAUGACCAGCCACACUGGGACUGAGACACGGCCCAGACUCCUACGGGAGGCAGCAGUGGGGAAUAUUGGACAAUGGGCGCAAGCCUGAUCCAGCCAUGCCGCGUGAGUGAUGAAGGCCUUAGGGUUGUAAAGCUCUUUCACCCACGACGAUGAUGACGGUAGUGGGAGAAGAAGCCCCGGCUAACUUCGUG
rnacentral:rRNA from 1 species